GGGGUUGUAGCUCAGUGGUAGAGUGCCUGCCUCGCAUGUUUGAGGCACUGGGUUCAAUCCCCAGCACCACG
rnacentral:tRNA from 1 species